GGACCCCUCCCUGCCCAUCAACAUUCUCUCCAGAAACAUAGUUUCCCACAAGACUAAGGGAACAGACGGAAGAAUCUGCGGCAGGUAGAAUGAGCUGAAACUGCACCUGGCAGCCUUGGGAGCUGGUAACUCUCUGGGUCUGCAUGUGCGUAGUCGGAGCCUUUUGGCCUUUCGUCACCCUCAAGCUUGUAAAACCCUGAGGAAGCUGUGGCUUCGUUACUUUACCACCUCGCUUCAUUUCCUGUUCUGAGGACAUUGCUCUGUGCGAAUGACCUCAGAACUGCCCAGAAGCCGAGAGCUGUGUCGUCUGGCUUCAGACGUUGAGCUGUGCUUCAAGUUCCAGCCUCAAAGUGGUGACACUCCUCCAGCCCCUUGGACCAUGCGGAGACCUGCACCACCUACCUACAUCUCUAUGUCUGGGCCAGCAGUGUUGCCUGGUUUCUUGGCAAAUCCCUGGUUUGCUUGGUUCUGGGUAGGUAACCUGUGCCCAGCAGAGUGAAGCAUCUCAGGAUGUCCUCAGAUGGAGGAAGAUGACACAGCUCAGAUCCUAGAGGGGAGCAGGAAGUCCAAGCUGAACCCUCUCACAGAGGUCCUCGCUUGAGUAGAGCUACCCCAGGGCAGUGUGGACAGUGGGAGAAGUCCUGAGCUAAUGUGUGCUGUGGCCAUGUCAGGGACUGCGGUGCCUCAGACCAAGAGAAUGGCAAAGCCUUCCCUGAGUGAGGCUCAGAGGGAAGGAAGCCUCCUCUGUCCUGACCUGGAAUACUGACAGAGUGUGUACAAACUGCCAACCACAGCUUCCUCCUCCCUGGUGACCGCAGCCUGAGAUUGUGCCCCUACAGAGACCCUGUUCUCAGAUAAGCUAAAUCUGCCUCCUUGUUCAGCCAAAUGCCAUAAACUCUCCUCCCUGAUUCAGAUAUAAAAUGAGUGUGUUGAAUUUCCAGGUUAUUAUUGUAGCUGGGCAUCCAUCAGAGCCCACACAGCUCACUGAUCCCACUUUCUUC
rnacentral:lncRNA from 1 species